rnacentral:rRNA from 1 species
UACGGAGGGUGCGAGCGUUGUCCGGAAUCACUGGGCGUAAAGGGCGCGUAGGCGGCGCGGAAAGUCAACGGUGAAAUCCCGGGGCUCAACCUCGGAAUGGCAUUCAAUACUGCUUCGCUAGAGUACUGGAGAGGAGGCUGGAAUUUACGGUGUAGCAGUGAAAUGCGUAGAUAUCGUAAGGAAGGCCGGUGGCGAAAGCGAGCCUCUGGACAGUUACUGACGCUGAUGCACGAAGGCCAGGGGAGCAAACGGG